rnacentral:lncRNA from 10 species
GAAGAUACGCAGGACGUCCUCUAAAGCAACUUCCGUGGGUGCCAGGUUGUGGGCUGGGGGCGGUGCUGACCUUGAGAGAGCGGAGGAGGCGCAGGCGCAGCACAGUUUAAACUUGAUUUUGUGAGGGGACGAACAGCGUGACAAUUAAAAGAAGAUCUGGGAAUCAAAAGCUUCCUGAGGCCUUCACCAGAAGCAGAUGCUGGUGCCGUGCUUCUACAGCCUGCAGAACUGAAGGACUUUACAGCUUCUCUUUCGCAUAUCCAAAUUGCCAGCAUCACCGCUCUUGCACUCCAAGCCAUUAUUAAGUAAAGUAAAGAACACAAACACUGUGAUACUGCUACACUUGAUCUGAUAACCAAGAAGUCUACUAAGUGACUAACAGCAGAGCAACUGGGAACCUAAUUCUGACCAAAAAGGAGGAAUUGUUUGGCUAAUUGGAAGUGACAGAAACCUUGGGAGAAAGCAACCGCAUACCAAGGAUAAUUAUAAGAAGAAGAGAAGACAUGGAGAAGAGGAGGGAGUAGUUGUGACCGUGGAGGCAGAGAAUGGAGUAAUGUGAUCAUAAAUCAAGGAAUGCUGACAGCCACUAAAGCUGGAGAAGGCCAAGGACAGAUAUUCAAUCCUCCCGUAGAAGUACAGCCCUGCUAAUGCAUUGAUUUUGGACUUCUGGCCUCAGAACUGUAAGAGAAUAAAUUUCUAUUGUUUUAAGCCUUCA